AUCUUAACAAAAAUUUAAAAUUUCAAUCCAAUAUUAGCCAAAUUCAAACAGGAUAUCACAAGGAAAUCUUAUGUCACAUGUGUACAUUAUGAAUUUGGUACAUACUUACCUGAAUUCACGAUGUACUCCUACACCAUUUAAUCGUAAAUUGAAAGGACCAUGGUAAAUAUCAUAUGCAUAUCGUUGGCAUAUAUAUAUAAAUGACAAACAAUGUCCAAUUAAUCAAAUAAAGCACAAACCAAGCCGC
rnacentral:lncRNA from 1 species